CCUACGGGUGGCAGCAGUGGGGAAUAUUGGACAAUGGGGGCAACCCUGAUCCAGCCAUGCCGCGUGUGUGAAGAAGGCCCUCGGGUUGUAAAGCACUUUCAGUGAGGAAGAACGCCUGGUGGUUAAUACCCAUCAGGAAAGACAUCACUCACAGAAGAAGCACCGGCUAACUCCGUGCCAGCAGCCGCGGUAAUACGGAGGGUGCGAGCGUUAAUCGGAAUUACUGGGCGUAAAGCGCGCGUAGGUGGCUUGAUAAGCCGGUUGUGAAAGCCCCGGGCUCAACCUGGGAACGGCAUCCGGAACUGUCAAGCUAGAGUGCAGGAGAGGAAGGUAGAAUUCCCGGUGUAGCGGUGAAAUGCGUAGAGAUCGGGAGGAAUACCAGUGGCGAAGGCGGCCUUCUGGACUGACACUGCCACUGAGGUGCGAAAGCGUGGGUAGCAAACAGGAUUAGAUACCCUUGUAGUC
rnacentral:rRNA from 1 species